rnacentral:tRNA from 1 species
GAUGUGGCCUAAGCGGUAGCGCGCUCGCCUGGCAUGUGUGUGGCCUGGGUUUGAUCCUCAGCACAACA